rnacentral:siRNA from 1 species
UUUUGGGUGCGGUGUAUAUCACCA